GAUGAACGCUGACAGAAUGCUUAACACAUGCAAGUCUUUGGCGAAGCUGUGCUUGCACAGCCUAUCCAAGUCGGACGGGUGAGUAACGCGUAAGGAACUUGCCCUGCAUUCAGGGAUAACAGACGGAAACGACGGAUAAGACCAGGUAAAAUCAGGCGUACUAAUGUACAGCCUGAUGAAAAGAGAUGCUGCAGGAGAGCCUUGCGUCCUAUUAGCUUGUGGGUGGGGUAACGGCCCACCAAGGCGAUGAUAGGUAGCCGGCCUGAGAGAGAGGACGGCCACAAGGGGACGGAGAUACGGACUUUAGUACUACGCGAGGCAGGCGUGGGGAAUAUUGGACAAUGGCGGCUAAGCUGAGAAAGCAUUCCUGUGUGAAAGAUGAAGGUUUUCGGAUGGUAAAGUGCUUUCAGAACGGAAGACAAAAUGACGGUACCUGCAGAAGAAGCGACGGCUAACUACGUG
rnacentral:rRNA from 1 species